AACGCUAGCUACAGGCUUAACACAUGCAAGUCGAGGGGCAGCAGGGGUUUAGCUUGCUAAAUUCGCUGGCGACCGGCGCACGGGUGCGUAACGCGUAUCCAACUUUCCCGUUACUCUUGGAUAGCCUUCCGAAAGGGAGAUUAAUACAAGAUGGCAUCAGAACUUCGCAUGUUAUUCUGAUUAAAGAUUUAUCGGUAACGGAUAGGGAUGCGUGACAUUAGAUAGUAGGCGGGGUAACGGCCCACCUAGUCUACGAUGUCUAGGGGUUCUGAGAGGAAGGUCCCCCACACUGGAACUGAGACACGGUCCAGACUCCUACGGGAGGCAGCAGUGAGGAAUAUUGGUCAAUGGUCGGAAGACUGAACCAGCCAAGUAGCGUGAAGGAUGAAGGUUCUAUGGAUUGUAAACUUCUUUUAUACGGGAAUAAAGCCCACUACGUGUAGUGGUUUGUAUGUACCGUAUGAAUAAGCAUCGGCUAACUCCGUGCCAGCAGCCGCGGUAAUACGGAGGAUGCGAGCGUUAUCCGGAUUUAUUGGGUUUAAAGGGAGCGUAGACGGGAUGUUAAGUCAGCUGUGAAAGUUUGGGGCUCAACCUUAAAAUUGCAGUUGAUACUGGCGUCCUUGAGUGCGGUUGAGGUAUGUGAAGUUCGUGGUGUAGCGGUGAAAUGCUUAGAUAUCACGAAGAACUCCGAUUG
rnacentral:rRNA from 1 species